GCCGGUGGCUCAGUGGUUAGAGUCUAGGUUCUGAGAGCGAAAGGUCCCGGGAUCGAAUCUCGCAAAAGGCA
rnacentral:tRNA from 1 species